rnacentral:rRNA from 1 species
AUGCAUUUCUUCCAGGUCGUCAUGGCGUGGAUGUUCCCGUGCGCCAUGUGGGCGGCGACGGCGCCGGCCGUGGCGACGGCAGCGACCACUGAUGGCGCUUCGAGCGUUGAGCAGGGCAGCUCCUCGUCGCCGGCGUUCGGCCCUGGCGAUGCUAAGGUGGCCUCCGACCCGGGCUCCUCCCCGGCGUCGAGGUCGUCCACCUCCUCCUCCUUGCUCGGCGCCCGAAGCAGCUCGUCGAACAGUGCGCGCUCACUGGUGAGGGAGGGCGGUGACACGGCCGCACGGAAGGGCCACGCGCUAAGGCGGUGCCUGCGCAGGUUCGCCAGAAAUCUGCAGCGCGCCGGUGCUGCGGACGAGCGGCCAGACGGGCGCGGGAGACGGAAGGGCCGGGCGACAAAGCCGGACGGGAGGGUCGCCGCCGGCGAGCAUGACACCGCCCGGGCGAGGGAGGAGGCCGUCGCGAGCGCGAUCGCCUACUGCAAGGCUGUGUUUUAA